GGAAACUUUUACUGUAUUUUAUAAAAACGUGGUGUCUUUGAAAACAGUUACCUUUUGAAAACCCGUCUUUUUCUACAACUAGUAGUUUACAUCAAACUAACUAAAUAAAAACCCCAAUUUAAAGUUUAUAACCUUAAAGAGGCCUUUUUACAUAAAAAUACCCAAAUCCAGUUACUUAUAAAUCAGAAGCUAAAAGCGAAAGCUGAAGCGGUUGUAUGGCCAUCAUCGAGUCCCUCGCAGCACCGACUCACCUACAACUGGGAAUUACAUGUACAAUUAGACAGAGGGGUGAGUUUACGAAAACUCAGUGUGUAAUCCCCUAACAAGUAAACCGUCAAUAAAACAUUAGAUAAAUGCAGUUUGGGCCUGAGCCCGUUACAGUAAUAGUCUAGUUCAGUGUGGGCCUAAGCCCUUUCUCGUAACAGUAAAUGAUUAGGCUUGAGCCCAUCACAAUGCUAGUAAUCAGUAGGCUUUUGCCCAACUUUAGUAAUAGUAUCAGUGGGGCCUUGGCCCACAACAGUAACAAAUAUCAUUUAUGCAGUGAACAGUAUGUAAUAUCAUUAAUCGAUGUACUAACAAUACAAUAUCAUUAAUCAGUGCAGAUAUGCAAUUAGAAGUCCUACCCAAUAUAGCCAUUAGUAGGUCCACAGUCAUCUUGGGCGACCUGUGUAACCUUAUCAGUACGGUCAUUUUACCCUAUGGGGGUAUUUUGGUCAUUUUACCCUACGAGGGUAUUUCGGUCAUUUUACCCUAUGGGGGUAUUUUAAUCAGUUUACACUAUAGGGGUAUUUCAGUUAUUUUACCCUAUGGGGGUAUUUCGGUCAUUUUACCCUAUGGAGGUAUUUUGGUAAUUUUACCCUAUUGGGGUAUUUCAAUCAUUUUACCCUAUGGAGGUAUUUCGGUCAUUCUACCCUAUAAGGGUAUUUUGGUCAUUUUACCUAUUUUGGGGUUUUGAUGCAGAUAUCGACCUCUCAAAAGGUCCGCAGUCACCUCGAGCGACUCAGGUAACAUAAAAGGUCACAACAGUGAAAAUGGGCCCAAGGCCUAUUGCACGAUCCAAGUGUGCCCACACGCUUGUGCGGCCCGAUCAGCCCAAAUUUGCCACGGAAAUGAGAUCUACUUAGCCCCGUCCAGUAUUUGCCACAAAUCGUGGAUUUCAUCUAUGUGGGGCCCACAAGCCCAAUGAGCCCACAUGGCCCAUUUCGGCCCAACGUGGCCUAUAACGGCCUAAGCCCAUGGAAAUGCUCAUAGAGGCCUCUACAGUUUAUCACCCAUGAUUGGCAGGUUUGGCUUUCCACACGAGCGAUCGCACACUCGUGUGGUCUCAACGUCGUAUUUCAGCUUUUCGGCUUUUGCCAUUCUACAGUUACAGUGGGGUGGUUACACACCUGAUGCGAUUUGCAGAUUCCCUUUGUUCUGAACACUCUUAUUAGGAAAAUCAAUGAUCAUCGCACCCUUGGUUCUCAGGCAAUGUGCCAAUCAACCUCGAUCACCACCAGUUAGGAAUGGAAGCAAUGUAAGUUGGAGAAAGCGACGAAAACCUUGAAAACCUCACCGAUCUCCUACCGAGAACAAGGAACAAAUGAGAUGAUAUAUAUAGCUCUCCACAACAACAACCUCCUCAAAUCCCAAUAUCCCUCCUCAAUUAUCCUCAAAUCCCAAUAUCCCUCCUUAAUUAUCUCUAUAACCAGUUCAAACUCCAUUUACCAGUAUUUCAAUCCAACUCUACCACCCACACGAACUAAGCAGCAAAAUAAAUACCCCUUUUUUGAUGCGCCACCACUUGAACCUUAGACCCCAUGUACACUCCACACACCCCUUACCACUAGACCAACAACUCCUUUGUAUCAUAUUUUAACCAUAAUAGUUUAAGAACCUACUAUUUAGAUCCAAGGAUUUUAUUCAUUUAAAAUAAAAUUUUUUUUUGCAUAACCAAGGCUUGAACCCCUGACUUCUUAAACACUUCCAAACACUCCUAAAUCACUUAACCACUGAAACAGACAUUCACUUAUGUCACUUCCUUGCACAACUAAAUAUUUAUGUGCAGUCUCCUAACUGUUCCCCUGUUCAAAACCUAUUUCUUCUAGGCCCAAAAUUCAGGGUGUUACAUUAAGCUUAUGUAUAAUUUAAAUGCAUGAGAUAUUUGUUAUAUUGUGUAUUGAAAAGGGUGCAACUUAUGCACAAUGAAAAUCUGUAAAAUAUGUAAAAUUGAACGAUAUCGAUUGAUACCAACACAAUAGUAAUUUAAAAGAUUGGAACACUAUUUCCAUUUAUUGAAAGCAUGUGAUUAUUGUGGACAUGCCGCUCAUAUUGAAUGAAUGUGAAAAGUCUUAAGAUAUGAUUAUAUAUGAGAUUGUGUGACAUAUUGCAUAUGCAUUGGGUUGGAAUUUUGUGGUUCAUAGAAGAGUUUCAUGGAGUACCGACAACAUAUUAAGCCCGUAUUAUUCGUAGUCAGUGCACUGUACAUGGAGUACCAAGGGGAAUGGCAAUUUAUCGCAUUUUUACUGGUAGCUUGUCUGCAUUUUUACUUGUAGAAUUUUUUGCAUAUUGUUAUCGGUGUCAUGCUCACGACAUAUUCAAAUGUUAUUGAUUUGUGAUAUGUGUUGUAUUGUGUUGUAUUGAAUGGUAUUGAAAUUAAUGAUUGUUACUCAAAUGAAUGAUGCCCCAUGCUCAUACACCAUUUGACAUUAAUUUGAUAAUGGCUAUGUAAGAUAUGAAAUUCCUAUGAUGGUUCUGUUUUCUUCCGUUAAUGCUAAUAUAUUUCACUGUAUUUUAUGCUUUUUCCCGUUUAAAUAAUUGUUCGACUCACACUAAGCUUUUCAUAAGAUUACCCCCAAUAGUGUUUAACUUUUCAGGUAAACCUCGAAAUUAGGACCGAACUCGACAUUUGGAGAAUCACCUUGGCCCUGGGACUAUUUUUAAUAAAUAUUAAUCAGUCUCUAUUAGUUUUGGUUUGUAACUUUUAAUUAUUUUUAGUCCAUGGCUUGGUAACUUUUCUUUUGGGGAUUUUUGCAUGCAUGGAUUACUCAAGCAUAAUAAUCAAAUAAUGCAUGAUAUCGGGCUUAAGAAAAAUUUGAUAUUGCUCCCUAGUUUCCUCAGCAUAUUUUCUUCCAGGUAUUUGAUUUUAUUUUCUUGUCUUGACUUUUUAUUUUUUGUGUUUCUAGCUACUACUUCAUUAUCAAUACUUAUUCCAAAGUUAAGUGUUAAAUUUCUAUUCUAGCAUAAUAUUUGUAAUCUUGUAAGUUCUAAUCAACUUCUCUGUGGAUCGACCUCAGACUCUUGAGAUUUUAUUACUUGAAUAUAACCUAACUUGGGUUGUAGAACUAGAAAUUCACUAUCAAGUUUUUGGCACCGUUGCCGAGGAAGUUAAGAUUUAGGUUACAAGUUUAUAAGUAUCAUUUUUUAUGUACAUAUAUUUGGCUUGUUCUACCGUCUAAUUUGUUUAUGCAUAUUUGGCAUGGCGAUUUUAAUUCUCGUCAUUUAGUUAGAAAAAUUGUGAAACCUUUUUUGGUAAUUUGAUUGAGACACCUCCACAUUCUCCAAUCAUGGAUGAGAUUGAAAAAGCUCCUGAUGAAAAUGAGAUUUAACAAGCGCGCACCCUGCUUGAUUACUUGCAACCUCCUCAAAAUUCAACACCCUUUUGCUUUGUUUUACCUUUGAAUGCAAAUAAUUUUUGGUUCAAAUCUGGAAUCAUAAGUUUACUUCCUAAUUUUCAUGGCUUAGAAGCAUGAAAUUCCUUACUUACAUCUUAAAUAUUUUGAAGAAGUAUGUGCCACCUUUAAAAAUCCACCUUGUGCUAUUGAAAUUGAUAAACUCAAAUUAUUUCCUUUUCCUUUAAAAGAUAAAGGUGAAAAUUUGGUUUAACAAUUUAAAACCAAGAUCAAUUGGUACUUGGCAAGAAAUGCAAACUGGAUUUUCAAAGAAUUUUUUUCCAACACAAAAGCACCAAUGCUUUUAAAAGACAGAUUCAAAAUUUCUUGCACAAUUCAAAUGAACCAUUUUUUCAAUGUUGGGAACGUUUCAAAGAUUUGUUAAGUUCAUGCCCACAUCAUGGUUUUGAAAAUUGGCAGACUUUCAGUUUCUUCUAUGAAGGUUUAAUUCCUGAAGCUAAACAAUUUGUUGAGAUAGUGUGUAACAGAGAGUUCCUUGAUAAAUAACCUGAAGAGGCCUUUGACUUCCUAGAGCAUUUGGCAGAAAAUUCACAACCUUGGCACAUAGUUAACCCUUCUGAAUAUUCCAUUAGAUCGAAUCUUGCUAAUAAUAAAGGAAAAUAUCACCUUAUUUUAGAAUAUGAUCUAAGUGCUAGUGUCAUGGGUUGCGCAUGGGAUCUCGCAACCAUGACGGAUUCGUGCGAUCCAUCGCAUACGAGGGAGGUCAUUUGGCCCAACUGGACUGGUCCAUUGCCUGGAGGAAUUAAAAGCCCAUCUCCGGAGCUUGGCAAAUAAGGAAAGUGAUCUUUUGAAGAUAUGCUUGGCAAAUAUGGAAGGUGAUCUUUUGAGAUAUGUGAUCCUAGAUAUUAAAUGAAAUCUUUAGAAGAUACGAUUAUGUAAUCUUAAAGAUUUGAUAUUGUGAUAGCUUUUAAUUGUAGCCAUUGAUGUAUUUUGAUUUAGACCGUUGAUUUUGGAGAGCCUCAACUAUAAAUAUAGGACUCUCUGCUCAUUGUAAAUUAUUGAGUUGUUAAUUGAAUCUUGAGAGUAUUCACUCAAACUUUUCUCUCAAAUGUUCUUACUUUCUGUUACUUUUGUUCAUCUUUCAAAGUCCGUUCUUACUUCGUUCUUCUGCUAUUCUUCGUGGUUGCCUUAAAGAAAAUUCUGUUGAAUCCAUAAUUUGUUGUGAGUUAGGCUGACUUAGGCGUUUGAGCAAAGAAACUGCCUAAGGCCGCACGGAUCGCGUGGGAAAACUCUAAGUCCGUGACAGUUGGUAUCCGAGCCAGUGUUUGUAGGUACCACUGAAAGAUGUCAAAAGAAGCUGCUGAGAAUGUUGAGGGAAUGGAGACCCGUGGGAGGGCUAGGAAAGCUAGUCGUUCGAGAGACAUACUGUCAGCUUUGGAGGAUCGAGUCAUCACUCUCGAGGAUUCCGUGGGAGACAUCAAUGAGAGGAUUGAUGAUGUCGAUGAUAGGCUCCAUGGUGGGUUGCAGUCCAUGCAGGAGCAACUCAAAGAGUAUGUGUUGGAUAAUGUUGAAAAACUGAAUGGCAGGGAUGAUGCCAUUGAGGCUAUGGUAACAGCCUUGAAAGAGGAGAUUGCGGAGCUCAAGGGUGAACUCACAAUCUACAAGGUUGCUUUAGGCAAUAGAGGGUUAGCUGCUUUAGCACCCAAGCCCAGUGUUGAUGUUCCCAAGAGAAAGGAGUUCAAGGGAACAAGGUCUACUAGAGAUGCGGACAACUUCCUUUGGGGAAUCGAGCAAUACUUCCGUGCCAAAGGCAUUAUGGAGGAUGCCACUAAGGUAACUACUGCUGCUAUGUAUCUCACUGACGUUGCUUUGUUGUGGUGGCGUCGUAGGUCCACUGAUGUGAGUCGUGGUAGGACUGAAAUUGGAACUUGGGAGGAGUUUCGAUGUGAGUUUAAAGCACAGUUUUACCCAGAGUAUGCCAAGGAUGAGGCUCGGGCAAAGUUGCGUCGGCUUACGCAACAAGGCACUGUGAGGGAGUAUGCGCAGCAAUUUAGCGAACUUAUGCUUCAAAUCUCAGAUAUGGGUGAGAAAGAAGCAUUCUUUUCCUUCAUGGAUGGGUUGAAACCAUGGGCAAAGCAAGAGUUGCAACGUCGAGGAGUCCAAGAGCUUACCAAGGCGAUGUCUUUGGCAGAAUCGCUUGCUGAAUUUGGUGGGAAGAAAGACAAUGCGAAUUCUUCUAAGCCCAGAUUCAAUCAAAAGGGUAAUAGUGGGGGAGAUAAAGAAAGCCCGCUAGGAAUGGCAACAGUAAGAAACCUUGGGACAAGAGAAAGAGUGGGCCUAUAAGUUGCUUUCACUGUGAUGGUCCACAUAUGAUCAGGAACUGCCCAAAGAAAGUCGCUCUCACGGCUAUGGAAACAAAUGGGGAGUCAAAUGUGGAGGACAACAAUAUCGGUUCAAUACUAGGGGGUGUCGAAGAUAGAACGAGUCAUGGAUUGAUGUUUGUGGACAUCAUUGUGGCCGGUAGAAAAUUGAAUGCGCUGGUUGACACUGGGGCGUCUGAUUUGUUCAUGUCUGAAGAGGCAGUUCGAAAACUUGGGCUCAAGGUAGAGAAUGAGCUGGGUCGGAUCAAAACAGUGAAUUCAGAAAGUGUCCCAAUCAAGGGUGUUGCCAAGGGAGUGGAUCUUCAACUAGGCGAUUGGGCCGGCAAGGUAUCCAUUAAGGUAAUACCACUCGAUGACUAUGAUUGUGUGAUUGGACUAAGUUUUCUUGAUCAGGUUAAGGCACUUAUUGCCCCUUCGAGUGAUUACAUGGUGAUUGCGGGUUCGAACCAUCCAUGCAUGGUAAGAAUGACAAAGAAGAGAAGCUUAGAGGGGAAAACACUGUCAGCAAUUCAAUUUGCUAAGUGAGUGCGCAGGGAUGAAGUCUCUUAUUUGGCUACCUUGAAGAUAGAGGAUACGGUUAAGUCCGUUAGUGAAAUCGCGAAAGAAGUGAGCCAAUUAUUGCAGUGCUUUUGGGAUGUGAUGCCUGCUCAGUUGCCAAAAAGUUUGCCACCAAAGAGAGAGGUGGACCACAAAAUUGAGUUAGUGUCCAACGUGGUGCCGCCAGCAAGGCCCCCUAUCAUAUUACUCCGCCAGAGUUAGAAGAAUUGUGAAAACAAUUGAAUGAGCUAUUGGAUGCAGGAUUUAUUAGACCAUCUAAAUCCCCAUACGGUGCGCCAGUGUUGUUUCAAAAGAAACAUGAUGGGUCCUUGAGAAUGUGCAUUGAUUAUCGGGCUCUAAACAAGAUCACUGUAAAGAACAAGUACCCUAUUCCUCUUAUUACAGAUUUGUUCGAGCAACUUGGUAGUGCAAAAUGGUUUACCAAGUUGGAUUUGAGAUCAGGGUACCAUCAAGUUCGAAUAGCCGACGGGGUGAACCAAAGACAGCUUGUGUGACACGAUAUGGUUCGUAUGAGUUCCUUGUGAUGCCUUUCGGACUCACGAAUGCCCCAGCUACCUUCUGCACCCUAAUGAAUAAGGUACUCCAACCUUUUCUUGAUCGUUUUGUGGUUGUUUAUCUUGAUGAUAUUGUGGUGUAUAGCAAGUCUCUCGAGGAGCACGUGGAACACUUGAGGGAGGUGUUCCAAACUUUGAGGGAAAAUGAGUUGUUUGUUAAGGAGGAGAAGUGCUCAUUUGCCCAACAAGAGGUAUCAUUCUUAGGCCACAUUGUGGGAGGGGGUAAGAUCCGAAUGAAUAAGAGCAAGGUUCGAGCCAUUUCCGAGUGGGAGCCCCCAACCAAGGUGACGGAGUUGAGAUCUUUUCUUGGGUUGGCAAAUUACUAUCGACGCUUUAUUAAAGGCUACUCGAGAAUUACCACACCCUUGACGGACAUGUUGAAAAAAGGGAAGGUAUGGGAUUGGAAUCCGGAAUGUAAGAGGGCCUUUAAUCAAUUGAAGCAAGAGAUGGCGAAGGAACCUGUGCUUGCCUUGCCAGAUUUUUUGAGGCCAUAUGAGGUAUGCACAGAUGCAUCAGAUUAUGCUAUCAGGGGAGUCCUAAUGCAAGAUGGACAUCCUAUUGCUUUCGAGAUUCGAAAGCUUAAUGAGACGGAGUGAAGAUAUACGGUCCAAGAGAAGGAGAUGACUGCGGUGGUGCAUUGCUUGCGCACUUGGAGACAUUAUUUAUUAGGUUCCAGGUUUGUUGUCCUUACCGAUAAUGUUGCCAACAGUUAUUUUCUAACCCAGAAAAAUUUGUCUCCCAAACAGGCUUGUUGGCAUGUUUUCUUAGCUGAAUUUGACUUUACCAUGGAGUAUAAGCCGGGGAGUGCCAACAUUGUGGCUGACGCACUGAGUCGAAAGAUGGAAUUUGCGACAAUUAGCCAACCUGAUGGUUCCUUAUUGGAACGUAUUCGAGAAGGAUUGUCCCAUGAUCCCACAGCCAAAAAUCUGACGGAGUUGGCCAAGGAGGGAAAAACUAGAAGAUUUUGGCUUGAUGGAGAGCUGCUAUACACCCAGGGGCGUCGCCUCUAUGUGCCUCAUUAUGGGAAGCUACGUAAGGAAGUCAUGAAAGAGUGCCAUGACUCGAGAUGGGCGGGCCACCCAGGGAUGCACCGUACUUUGGCCCUUUUGGAAGAACGUUAUUAUUGGCCUCACACGGGUGAUGAUGUGGAAACUUAUGUGAAGACUUGUCUGGUUUGCCAACAAGACAAGGUUGAGUAAAAGACCCCAGCUGGUUUGCUUCAACCCUUGCCCAUUCCGGAAAGACCAUGGGAAAGUUUAUCCAUGGAUUUUAUUGUUGGUUUACUUAAGUCUGACGGGUUUGCGAGUAUUCUUGUUGUGGUGGACAGGUUCUCGAAGUAUGCGACGUUCAUUCCGGCCACCAAGGAAUGUCCUGCUAAGGAGGCAGCUCGUUUAUUCCUUAGAAAUGUGGUAAAAUAUUGGGGCGUGCCACAGUCUAUUGUCAGUGAUCGUGAUGGGCGAUUUAUAGGUCGGUUUUGGACCGAGUUGUUCAAGUCAAUGGGCUCAGACUUGAACUUUUCCAUGAGUAUGCAUCCGCAAACCAAUGGGCAAACUGAGAGAGUAAAUGCAUUGUUAGAAACAUAUCUGCGACACUAUGUGAGUGCCACACAAAGGGAUUGGCCAAAGUUAUUGGAUGUGGCUCAAUUCUCAUAUAACUUGCAGCGAAGUGGGGCAACGAACCAAAGUCCGUUUGAGAUAGUGACGGGCCAACAGCCACUCACACCCAAUGCUGUGGUAACCCGUUAUACAGGACCAAAUCCAGUAGCUUAUCGUUUUGCGAAGGAUUGGCAAGAGAAGAAUGACUUGGCUAGGGCUUGUUUACACAAGGAAAGCAAGCGCAAUAAGAAGUGGGCCGAUCAGAACCGAAGAGACGUGCAAUUUCAAGUGGGUGACUCAGUCCUUGCCAAACUACAAUUGAUGUUGUGAUAUACGGGCUUGCACAAAGGGCUCGUGCGAAGGUAUGAGGGGCCGUUUAAAGUUGUGAAGAGAAUGGGCAAAGUGGCAUACAAGCUUGAGUUGCCUCCAAAACUUAAAAUCCGCCCAUUGUUCCAUGUAAGUAUGCUUAAGCCAUUUCAUUGGGACUAAGAAGAUCUGAAUCGGGGCAUGUCUAAAUGAGCACCAAUGGGGGUAAAGGUCUCUUACGACCGCGACGUGGAAACCAUUGAGGCAGACCGUGUGAUUAGACAAAAGUACCAUCGACCGCGUCAUGAAUACUUAGUUCGAUGGAAAGGACUUCCUGAUAGCGAAGCAAGUUGGGAACCUGCUGAGGCAUUGUGGCAAUUUCAAGGAAAGAUUGACCAGUUCCAUGAGGAGGACGCGACGAGGGCGUCGCUAGAACAAGUGGAGGAGAAUGCAUGGGUUGCGCAUGGGAUCUCGCAACCAUGACGGAUUCAUACGAUCCAUCGCAUUCGAGGGAGGUCAUUUGGCCCAAUUGGACUGGUCCAUUGCCUGAAGGAAUUAAAAGCCCAUCUCCGGAGCUUGGCAAAUAAAGAAAGUGAUCUUUUGAAGAUAUGCUUGGCAAAUAUGGAAAGUGAUCUUUUGAGAUAUGUGAUCCUAGAUAUUAAAUGAAAUCUUUAGAAGAUACGAUUAUGUAAUCUCAGAGAUUUGAUAUUGUGAUAACUUUUAAUUGUAGCCAUUGAUGUAUUUUGAUUUAGACCGUUGAUUUUGGAGAGCCUCAACUAUAAAUAGAGGACUCUCUGCUCAUUGUAAAUUAUUGAGUUGUUAAUUGAAUCUUGAGAGUAUUCACUCAAACUUUUCUCUCAAGUGUUCUUACUUUUUGUUGCUUUUGUUUAUCUUUCAAAGUCCGUUCUUACUUCGUUCUUCUACUAUUCUUCGUGGUUGCCUUAAAAAAAAUUUUGUUGAAUCCAUAAUUUGUUGUGAGUUAGGCUGACUUAGGCGUUUGAGCAAAGAAACUGCCUAAGGCCGCAUGGAUCGCGUGGGAAAACUCUAAGUCCGUGACACUAGGAUGACUAGUUUAACUAGAAAGGUUUAAGCCAUGGAGUUUAGGAAAGUACAAGAAAUUAAACCAGGAAAAACUGAAGAAAUUUGUGGUAUUUGUGAAAUCAUGGGACAUUCUUCUAUGGAAUGCCCAAACAUUUCACUUUUCAAAGAAAUGUUGCAUGAACAAGAAAAUGUUGUGGAAACAUUCAGAAAACCCUUUCAUUCUCCAUACUCAAGCAUUUACAACCCUCAAUGGAGAAACCACCCUAACUUCAGAUGGCAGGAUAAUAAUCGUGCUCAUUUCCCCCAUUCUCCAAAACCUCCUAACACUCUGACCCAACCAUCUUCACAUGUUAAAAGUUUAGAGGAUACAUUGUAAGAAUUCAUGCAGACACAAACAAAUGUCAACAAUCAGACUUCACAAGGUAUCAAUGAAAUCAAGAGCACCCUUUCUAUGUUGACAGCCUCAAUGCGCAUUCAAGAAAAAGGUAAGUUUCUUGCUCAACCUCAACCUAAUCCUUCUACUCAAUGUCAUAUUUCUUGUCCUAGAGAAAUCCAAAAAGAAUAUGUGAAUUCUAUCACAACUCUUCAAAGUAGUAAGGCCAUCGACAAGAGUAUUUCUUCCAAAGCCCAAGAGCCCUCUCUCAGUUUGCUAAGUAGUGGUAAGGAUGAUUACAAGCCUAAAAGUUCUAACAACUUAGACAAGGAAAAUAUGGGGUUUCUGCUCCUUUCCCUCCAAGAUUACAACCAAUAAGGAAUUUGAAUCAAAAUGCUAAAAUUUUAGAAAUUUUCAAGCAAGUCAAGAUUAAUUUCCUUUAUUGGAUGUGAUUAAACAAGUGUCGUCUUAUGAUAAGUUUUUGAAAGAUAUGUGCACAGUGAAAAGGAAACAUAAUGUGCAAAAGAGAGCCUUUUUAACUGAACAUGUGAGUUAAAUCAUUCAGCAUAUCACUCCACCUAAAUACAAAGAUCAUAGUUGCCCUACAAUUUCAUGCAUCAUUGGGAACACUGUAAUAGAUCGUGUUUCGCUUGAACUUGGUGCUAUUGUUAAUCUUUUGUCUUUCUCUGUUUAUCAGCAAUUAGAUUUAGGUGAACUUAAACAAACAUCUAUCACAUUUCAGUUAGCUUAUCGAUUUUUCAAAAUUCCUCGAGGGAUAGUAGAAAGUGUGUUGGUUUAAAUUUACAAUUUUUAUUUUCCAAUUGAUUUUAUUAUUUUGGACACGCAUCCUGUCUUAGAUUCUACUUUACAAAUCCCUAUUAUUUUAGGUUGUCUAUUCCUUGCAACUUCAACUACUUUGAUUAAUUGCAAGAACAGUGUUCUAAACUUGUAUUUUGGAAACAUGACAUUAGAAUUAAAUGUGUUUAACAUUUGUAAUCAACCUGCUAAAGAUUCUGAUGUACAUGAAGUGGAAUUCAUUGAAUAACUUGUCCUUGAACAAUUCAUCAAUUCCAAACUAUUCAAUCCUUUGGAAAAUUAUUUAACUGAAUUUGAAAUUGAUGACGAAACAAAAAAAAUCCAUGCAUUAAUCCUGUCUUAAACAAUUUUCAAGGACAAGAUAAGAAAUUUUAUUAGAAACAAAAGUUUGAGGAACAUCCAACAACUAAAGAUGUUUUAACACAUUAGUUGAUCAACCACCCAUGCUUGAUUUGAAACAACUACCAUGUGAUCUGAAAUAUUCAUUUUUGGGUGAGAAUGAAACUUUUCCAGUCAUAAUUUCCUCAAAACUUGAUGCACACCAAGAAGGUAAGCUACUGAAAUUUUGAAAAUGCAUAAAAAUGCAUUAGGAUGGACCAACAUAGCUAACAUAAAAGAAAUUAACCCUCUGAUUUGCACACAUAACAUUUAUUUAGAGGAAAAUGCUAAACCCUCUAGAAAAAUGCAACUAAUUCUUAAUCCUAAUAUGAAAUAAGCGGUGAGAAACGAAGUCAUUAAACUCUUGGAUAAUAGAAUCAUUUAUCCUAUUUUUUACAGCAAAUGGGUAAAUCCUACCCAAGUUGUACCCAAAAAAUAUGGGGUUACUGUAGUCAAAACUGAAAAUAAUGAAUUGAUCCCAACUAGGACUAUUAUUGGUUGACGCAUAUGCAUUGAUUAUAGGAAACUUAAUUUAGUGACCAGAAAAAAUCAUUUCCUUUUACCUUUCAUGGAUAAUAUCUUAGAAAUAGUUGCGGGGCAUGAAUUUUAUUUUUUUCUAGAUGGAUAUUUUGGGUAUAAGAAAAUUACAAUUUCACUUGAGGAUCAAGAGAAAACCACUUUUACAUGUCUUUUUGGCACUUUUUCACAUCGAAGUUUGCCUUUUCGAUUAUGUAAUGCACCAGCCAUGUUUCAGAGAUACAUGUUUAGUAUUUUUAGUGGUAUGGUUGAACGCAUUUUAGAAGUCUUCAUGGAUGAUUUUUCUUGUUUGGUGAUUCAUUAAAUGAUUGCUUAUCUAAUUUAGAAAAGGUUUUAAUUAGAUGUAAAGAAAAAAAUUUUGUUCUUAAUUAGGGAAAAUGUCAUUUCAUUAUCACUAAAGGAAUUGUUUUAGGACACAUAGUUUCUUCAAAAGGGAUUCAGGUAGACAAGUCAACAUUUGACUUUGUGUAAUCUCUUAUUAAAGGAUAGUGUGUUUGGAUGGACUGAAAAGUGUGAAAUGACUUUUGGAAAACUUAAAAGUAUGCUUACUUCUGCUUCUAUUAUGAAACCUCAGAUUGGACUUUACCAUUUGAAGUAAUGUGUGAUUCUAGUGAUUACGUUCUUAGUGUUGUGUUAGGAUAAAGGAAACAUAAGAAAACAUAUGUCAUUUGUUAUGCAAGUAAAACUUUAAAUAGUGCUCAAAUGAAUUAUGCUACUACUAAAAAAUAAUUACUUGUAGUAGUUUUUGCAUUGGAAAAAUUCAGAUCUUACCUUGUUGGAUCAUCUAUUGUUGUCUUUAGUGAUCAUGCAACUUUAAAA
rnacentral:lncRNA from 1 species